UACGAAGGUGGCAAGCGUUGUUCGGAUUUACUGGGCGUACAGGGAGCGUAGGCGGUUGGCUAAGCCCUCCGUGAAAUCUCCAGGCUUAACCUGGAAAGUGCAGAGGGGACUGUUCAGCUAGAGGAUGGGAGAGGAGCGCGGAAUUCCCGGUGUAGCGGUGAAAUGCGUAGAGAUCGGGAGGAAGGCCGGUGGCGAAGGCGGCGCUCUGGAACAUUUCUGACGCUGAGGCUCGAAAGCGUGGGGAGCAAACAGG
rnacentral:rRNA from 1 species